rnacentral:rRNA from 1 species
CCUACGGGUGGCUGCAGUGGGGAAUAUUGGACAAUGGGCGAAAGCCUGAUCCAGCCAUGUCGCGUGUGUGAAGAAGGCCUUCGGGUUGUAAAGCACUUUCAGUGGGGAAGAAAGCCUUGGGGCUAAUACCCUCGAGGAAGGACAUCACCCACAGAAGAAGCACCGGCUAACUCCGUGCCAGCAGCCGCGGUAAUACGGAGGGUGCGAGCGUUAAUCGGAAUUACUGGGCGUAAAGCGCGCGUAGGCGGUCUGAUAAGCCGGUUGUGAAAGCCCCGGGCUCAACCUGGGAACGGCAUCCGGAACUGUCAGGCUAGAGUGCAGGAGAGGAAGGUAGAAUUCCCGGUGUAGCGGUGAAAUGCGUAGAGAUCGGGAGGAAUACCAGUGGCGAAGGCGGCCUUCUGGACUGACACUGACGCUGAGGUGCGAAAGCGUGGGUAGCAAACAGGAUUAGAUACCCCUGUAGUC